AGUUUUAUUCUUGCUUUAUCAUUUUAUUUUUGUUUGUUCUAUAUGUAAGUUUGUGCGUGAUUUUAAAUAAUUCUAGAUGGGUUAUGGGUUGAAUUUUGUUAUUCUCAUUAGUUGUUAUUGGUUGAUCAGGUGUUCCUGUAUUCAGUAAUACAUUUUAGUCUCGGUUAAAUUUUGUGCCAGCAGCCGCGGUUAUACCUUGGAGGCAUUUGAAUGUGUUUGGCGUUAGGUAGUUUUAUGGAUUAGUUUAUUAGAUUAAAAUUUAUUUGUUGUUAGGUGAAAUUUUUAUUUUUAUUGUUUAUUUUGUUUUCUGUUUGGAAGCUAUGAAAUUCUUUUUAUAGACUAGGAUUAGAUACCCUAUUAUUUUAGAAUGUUAAUUAUUUUGCCUGAGUAGUAUUAGUUAUGUUCUUGAAACUUAAAGAAUUUGGCGGUAUCUCAUUCCGUUCAGAGGAAUCUGUCUCGUUAUCGAUAGUCCACGUUGGACCUUACUUAGUUGUUUUUGGUUUGUAUACCGCCGUUUAUUGAUUAUCUUUUUAGGGUUUAUUUAAUUUUCUGGUUUCUUUAUUUUGAUUUAUUUCAGGUCAAGGUGCAGCUUGUUUCUAAGUGAAUGAUGGAUUACAUUAUUAUUUGUUUUUGGAUUAUUUAUUUUUAUAUGAGUAUGAAAUUGGAUUUGGUUGUAAUAAUUUGUAGAUUGUUAUUAUGAUAAUUGGUUCUGGGAUAUGUACACAUCGCCCGUCGCUCUCGUUUAGUUAUUAAUGAGAUAAGUCGUAACAAAGUGGUUGUACCGGAAGGUGUGGCUGGAUUG
rnacentral:ncRNA from 1 species